UUCCUGUGAGGCCCGAAGCCCAUCACAGGAAUAUAAAUUUUCCUAACGGGCUAAAUUUGGCUCCCAGGAAAAUUGACUAUUUUCCUGAGAGUCCAGCCCACAGGAAAAAUAUUUGAGGCCCAGCCCGCCAUUUCACCACCGCGAAACGGGCUCUGGCGCCGGAAAUUCUUACCUCCUGCGUUUUUUUCGCUUUGGCGCCUCAAAUGAAACUUCCGCCGAUUUUCCUGUGUGUAUGGGCCUACAGGAAAAAAGGCCCAUCCAGAUGAAUAGAAUCCCUAGACCACCAAUUCCCCACUUCGUCCCAUCUCUCCAUCUCACAUCUGCUCCAUGGCCGCCGCCCUCCUCAAACUUCCUGGCCGGCGCCACUCGCCCUAAAUCGUUCCGGCACCGCUCGCCCUCCACUCUCCCGACCUCCACUACUGCUCCGACCCUUGCUGCAUCCCACCUUCGUCGGACCACUCCGCCCAACACGGCUUCCCUGGACGCGAUGAUUGUACCCCGUGCUCCCUGCUCCAGAUCUGGCUUGAAUCUGCCAUAUCAAGGAUCCUUUGUUGAAGCUGCAGCCACACUGGUUUUGUUUCUCAUCUUUAGAAGUCUUUGUAGUGGAAGGAAGGGCAAGGCAAAACCUGUCUCAGGUACCUUGUUGUUUGGAACAUGUCAUCCCUUGAGCUCGGCACCUGUUCGCAUAUGCCCUAUUCGAAGAGUGAGUCAGUGCGUGUCCGUGCUCUGUUUUACGCGCGUGUGUGUGUGUGUUUUGGUUCAGGUGCAAGCCCAUGGAUGCUGAAGACUAUGAGGAGUGCAUACCUCUUCUUUAUGAAGUUCUCGCAGGUCAGCAACAUGAGGGCAAAAAGGGCAGGACCUCGUUAAGAAUGUCGUCCUAGUGGGCACAAGGUCGAACAUGAAGCUACCAGUGAGUAUUGUUUAAUCCUAUCCAUUAUUUUAUAAAGCACCAAGAUGGUAGUAUAACAUCUAAUGGUUGCAUUGCUGCCAUAUGCCAUAUCUAAGAUUUACAAAGAAAAACUAAAUGAACAUCCUUUUUUAGUCCUUGAUUAGCUAAAUUAUCAUCAAGUGGACCAGAUUAUCUUUUGGAGCCACUUUAAAAUAUAAAAUAUAUGUUUCAUGGGGCUGUAGGAUAUAUUGUAUAGAUAUGCUAAAAGAUGAAACUUGAAAGAGUUAAGCGGAUAACAACUCAUAUGGUGAAAGAUGUUGGUCAUCAUCUCCUUCUCUUUCCAAUAUUAUUCCCGUUACUUGUGUACAUGACUUUGCAGGGAACACCGAGUUAUCCUCUGUUAGCUUGGAGGAUGGUGCUAUGGGCGACCACGUCGGCAAUGGCAACAGCAAAGGCAACAAUGAUGUUGAGAACAUGGUGAUAGCCUAAGGUGACUUAGAAACUUAUGAAGGUGUAGAUGAUGCUCCAGAUCAUGAACCAGUGGACUUAGAAACAUGAGUCUUAUUGUUUUGGGUGGCGGUGGCAUGUAUGCGUACAACUGACAUGUUACUGUUGUUGAGCAAAUAAAACAACAGCAAUUAAAAUUUUCAGAUGUCAUCUACCAGAUGUUCAAUCAUGCAUGGAUACGUGCUAUGUAUAUACUGGUUUUGGAUGCUUGUACGAAGAUAUGAUGUGGAUUUUCA